rnacentral:rRNA from 1 species
UACGAAGGGGGGCUAGCGUUGUUCGGAAUUACUGGGCGUAAAGCGCGCGCAGGCGGUCUUCCAAGUCAGUGGUGAAAGCCCGGAGCUCAACUCCGGAACUGCCAUUGAAACUGUAAGACUUGAGGAUGAGAGAGGUGAGUGGAAUUCCCCAGUGUAGAGGUGAAAUUCGUAGAUAUUGGGAAGAACACCGGUGGCGAAGGCGGCUCACUGGCUCAUAUCUGACGCUCAGGCGCGACAGCGUGGGGAUCAAACAGG